UAGGGAAUCUUCCGCAAUGGACGCAAGUCUGACGGAGCAACGCCGCGUGAGUGAAGAAGGAUUUCGGUUCGUAAAACUCUGUUGUUAGAGAAGAACAGCGCAUAGAGUAACUGUUAUGCGUGUGACGGUAUCUAACCAGAAAGCCACGGCUAACUACGUGCCAGCAGCCGCGGUAAUACGUAGGUGGCAAGCGUUGUCCGGAUUUAUUGGGCGUAAAGCGAGCGCAGGCGGUCAAUUAAGUCUGAUGUGAAAGCCCCCGGCUCAACCGGGGAGGGUCAUUGGAAACUGGUUGACUUGAGUGCAGAAGAGGAGAGUGGAAUUCCAUGUGUAGCGGUGAAAUGCGUAGCUAUAUGGAGGAACACCAGUGGCGAAGGCGACUCUCUGGUCUGUAACUGACGCUGAGGUUCGAAAGCGUGGGUAGCAAACAGG
rnacentral:rRNA from 1 species